ACUACAAGUGAAAAACUUAAAACUCAAAGGACUUGACGGUGUCCCAUAUCGACCUAGAGGAGCCUGUCCUAUAAUCGAUACCCCCCGCUCCACCCGACCCCAACUAGCAUACAUCAGCCUAUAUACCGCCGUCGAUCAGCCUACCCUAUGAAAGUCCAACAGUAGACACAAUAGCCCCACCGCUAAUACGUCAGGUCAAGGUGUAGCAAAUGUUGUGGAAGAGAUUGGCUACAUUUUUUAUUAUAAAAAAUACGAAAUAUACCAUGAAACAGUAUAUGAAGGUGAAUUUAGUAGUAAAAUAAACAAGAGUGUUUAUUUUAACAGCGCUCUGGGACGCGUACACACCGCC
rnacentral:rRNA from 1 species